UACGUAGGGGGCGAGCGUUGUUCGAAGUUACUGGGCGUAAAGCGCGCGUAGGCGGCUUCUUAAGUCUGAGGUGAAAGGCUCAACGCUUAACGUGAACAGUGCCUUGGAUACUGGGGAGCUUGAGUGUGGCAGAGGAUAGUGGAAUUCCUGGUGUAGCGGUGAAAUGCGUAUAUAUCAGGAGGAACACCGAUGGCGAAGGCAGCUAGCUGGGCUAGCACUGACGCUGAGGUGCGAAAGCGUGGGGAGCGAACGGG
rnacentral:rRNA from 1 species